rnacentral:pre_miRNA from 1 species
AGAGGUGUAGGGCAUGGGAAAAGGGGGCGACGAGGUUCGCCUCCCGCCGCACCCGCAUCCUCGGG